UUAGUUUUACAGUCUGCUUCCUGCUUGUAAGAAAUUUUUGGUCCAAAUGCCUCUUUUGUUUUUGUCCCCUUCAGAGCAUACAAUUAAAAUUCCCUUAAAAACUAUGCAGGUUUCCUGUGUAUCAGUUAAAAUCUACUCCAAUAGAUUAAAGUGACACCCACAUAUCUUUUCAAUUCAGGCCCCUCUCUAACCUUGGACUGAGAACCAAAGGACUAUGCAACGAUACCUUUAAGAACCUUAGAAUCCUGUAGUCUAGCAAAGAGGGUCUAGGAGGCAACAUCUUAAAUCCAUCUGACAUCUUAACAGAGAAUCUUAUAGCUGUAAAUGAAUUAGUCACUACUGACAUUCUAUCUGGAAAUCUCCUUAUUCCAGCCCACAGAUAGAGAGACACAGAGUGUGAGCAGGGAGGGGCAGAGAGAGAGUGAGACA